rnacentral:lncRNA from 1 species
UUCAACUGACGUAUUAACAGAAUAACAAGAUAAUGAAAGCUAGAUAAUGACAGUAUAUUGCUUUAUAUUGCGUAAAAAAAAUUAUUCCCUUUGCAAAUGAUCAGACCCCCUUUAUAUAGUAGGGGAGUCCUAUUCUUGAUAAAGUUCUAUAUGAGGUAAGAGAUCUCAUCAUUAGCUAAUUAAUCGGCCUCUUGUUGAUACGUGCCGGGAUUUCCACCGUGAUCCUCGCCCGAUUGCGGAUAUUUCGGCUUUCCAUUAUUUGGCUCGGUAAGUUUUCCUCGAUCUUGCUCGAUCUCUAUCUUGCUCGGUCUCAAUCUCGUCUGACUUCGAUCUUGAUCAAUCUCUAGGUCACGAGCUCGACGAUCUAACUUUGCACCAUGAUUCGAUAUAACACGAGGUCGAAUCUUGACCUAUCAUAUUCCAGUCACAAUUAGUCACACAAAAGGCGAACCCGAUUUUGACCAUAUACAAAUUAAAUAAAAUUAAUUACUAAUUCUCUUAAUAAUAGAACCAAACUUAAUGGAGCCAAGCCUUAAUCCAACUUUGAUUGACUUGAGCAGAUUUGGAUCAAAGUCGAGCGAGUUAAAAUGUCCAAUCGAACCCUAAGCUGGCUCGAUUCUGACUUACUCGUGAGUUUAUAUUCUUCGAACGGGAAUUUUGGAACAAUGGUAAAGUUAUUUUUAUAUGAUUUAUAGGUCUCGUGUUCGAGCCGUAAAAAUAGUCACUAAUGCUUGUAUUAGGUUAGCUUGUCUACAUCACACUCCUUAAGUGCACCCUGCAUAAACGCGAGAUGAUUUAUGCAAUGAAAUUUUUCAAAGUUUAAUUUCUUUCUUGCUUUUACUAAAUGAAAUUUAGCACUAAUUCAUAGGUGGACUCCACGUUAGGUCAAAAGAAGCGGAUUAAAUCUCUACUCUUUCCAACCAAACUUGGCCACAAUCUUUCUAGUGACCUAUUUUACUUCCAAGUUCUAAUGAUGAUGCUUCAUUCUUUUCCCUUCUCUUUUUAAAUAAAGAAACUGGAUAUUCCUUCAUGCAAUGAUCAUUUUGACAAGAACCCUUUUUUCUUAUGUGUGAUCAUUGACAAGAACUCUUUUCCUUCCUUUAGCUCAGUAAGGCUUUUAACAUAGUUAGAAGAUUCCAUCCUAAAGAUGAGUCUAAGCAAAUAAAUACUAUGAGAAGCUGACAUUUUUAUAGGAAAGCAAACAGCUAAGAUUUGCUGUCUUGGAUUUGAUAUUUGAAGUUUUACUUUCUUUUUCUUUUAACUCUUUUCUUUACAUUUAUUAGGCCAAAAAGUUUCAAUGUUUCAAUUAUUGUUCUUGGAGACCAUGCAGAAUUAAAGGAUCCUUGCCUUCCUUCUUUUCCUCCAAAAAGCUCCUUUUGCUUCCAAUAUUUUUAAGAGGAUUUAAGUUCUUGGGAUAUUCAAUGGUUCAUAGCCUACUACUACUUUAUUUUCAUCUUUCUCUUCUUUUUUAGUUCCUUUGUAGAUCAUGCAACAAACAUUUUUCAUGGCUGUUUCUAUCAUUUAAGACAGAUGUUUUUAUUUUAUUUUGAAGAUUCUUUUGUAAUCAUGAUCAUUUUGUAUACACGUGCAAACCCUUGGAAUGCAUAAUACCAACCCAUUUUCAUAGCUCUUUCGAAGUCUUGACAUGAAGAUAAAAGGAUUUUGAAGUUUUUCAUUUUGACCUUUGGAGGAUAAUUCUUUAUUUCAAGCAUUAAUUACCUAGUUUACAAUUAUAUUCGUAUUUUUUUUUCUUUUUUCCUUUUGCAAAUUUUCUUCUUUUAAUCAGAAUUCAAUUGUGGUAUUAGUUUGACUCAAAAGAUAUUAGAACUUUUUUGAACAAAUCAAUCAAAGAGAAUGAAGGGGUAAAUCCUAGUUAAAGAUAAUUAACUCUAGAUUCGAGAUGAAUAAUAUGAAUAAAAAAAAUAUAGCCGAGUAUAAAUAUUGACAGUGAUUAUGGCUAGAUUUAAUAGCAUAAAGAAAGAUGCAUUAAGUAACAUUAAGUGACAAUAAAAUAUAAAUAAAGGAAAAGAUUCACCCAAUCUUGAGUGAGACGGAUCUUCUUUCAUUUGAUAAAGAUGAAUGAUAGACAAAUACAAGAACCUUAGAACCUUUUUUGGAUCUGAUGAAGGUAUGGGAUCACAGAUCCUCCCAUCUCUUUAGAGAGGUGUGUUUACAUAUUUUCUAGAGAGAGGGAGAGGGAGAGGGAGAGAGCCCCCUUUAUGGGAAGUCCUCUCUCUCUAUUUAUAAGGGGUAUUCCUAGAAAAAUCCAAAAAAAAAGGUACAAUUAGAGAGAAUAAUCAGUAGAAUAUUCCUUUUGAGGAUUCCAAAGCAAACUAGUUGUUUCAUCAUUGUCCGACCUCGACCUUAUUGAUGACUGUCCGACCUCAGCCUUAUUGAUGACUGUCCGACCUCGUCCUGUCUGACCUCGGCUUUAUUGCUGAUUGUCCGACCUUGACCUGUCUGACCUCGGCCUUAUUGAUGACUGUCCGACCUCGGCCUGUCCAACCUCGGCCUUAUGUCUCCGCGUGCCGAAUUUCUCUGAUCUAAUUUUGACCCAUACAGUUAGUCCCUCCGCUUAUCGAGGUCGUCUCUAAGUCGAGCUCGGUGAGCGGACUUCAUUAAUCGUAGUUCGAGAAAUUCGGAUGGGGAUGUCGACUAGUGUGGAUCGCGGUUGAGGGUGCCGAAAAGUGGUAUCCCCGUGGGCUGAACUUUAGCAGAGUUCGAUCAGGGCCAAUGACUCGAGUGAUGAGUUGAUCGAGAAGACGGUAAAGUUGGAGAAGACCGUCGAGGCCAGGAUAGCGGUUUUGGCAAGGAUGGCGGCAUCAGAGGAGGUCAUUUGCAUCCUUGGAUCUGGAGGGGCGAGAAGGUCGAAUGUGAAUUCGGACGAGGUCACUGAAUGGGAAUUCAGGCGCGGCUCCGAAUGUGAAUUCAGGCAAGGUCGCCGAAUGUGAAUUCGGGUGAAGUCGUCGAAUGUGAAUUCGAUCGAGGUCGUCGAAUAUGAAUUCGAAUGAGGUCGUCGAAUGUUGAUUCGGGCGAGGUCGCCGAAUGUGCAUUCGGAUAAGGUCACCCACUGUGAAUUCGGACGAGGUCGCCCAUUAUGAAUUCGGAUGAGGUCGCCCAUUAUGAAUUUAGAUGAGGUCGCCUAUUGUGAAUUCGGACAAGGUCGCCCAUUGUGAAUUCGGGCGAAGCUGAAGUUUGAUUCGGACGAGGCUGAAGGUUGAUUUGGACGAGGCUGAAUGUUGAUUCGGACGAGGCCGAAGUUGAUUUGGACGAGGCCGAAUGUUGAUUCACACGAGGUUGCCCAUUGUGAAUUUGGGCGAGGCCGAAAUUUGAUUCGUACGAGGCCGAAGGUUGAUUCGGACGAGGCUGAAGUUGAUUUGGACGAGGCCGAAGUAGAUUCGGACGAGGCCGAAUGUUGAUUCAGACGAGGCCGAAGUUGAUUCGGACGAGGGAAGAUUGAUUCAGACGAGGCCGAAGUUGAUUUAGAAGAGGCCGAAUGUUGAUUCAGACGAGGCCGAUGUUGAUUCAGACGAGGCCGAAGUUGAUUCGGAUGAGGCCGAAGAUAAUUCGAACGAGGCCAAAUGUUUAUUCGGACUAGGCCAUCGUCGUUGUUCGAAAUAACACCCUUUAAGUCCAAGGGCCUUCGCCAAAAAAAAAAGAGUUCGACCUCGAUCGAACAACGACGAGUUACUAUUUUGACAAGUUCGAAAUAACACUCUUUAAGGCCAAGGGCCUUCGCCGAAAAGAAGAGUUCGACCUCGAUCGAACAACGAUGAGUUACUAUUUUGACAAGUUCGAAAUAGCACCAUUUAUGGCCAAGGGCCUUCGCCAAAAAGAAGAGUUCGACUUCAUUCGAACCAUGACGGGUUAACAUUUCAACCAGCUCGAAAUAACACCCCUAAGUCCAAGGACCAUCGCCAAAAAGAAGAGUUCGACUUCAUUCGAACCAAGACAAGUUAACAUUUUGAACAGCUCGAAAUAACACCCAACGGCCAAGGGCCAUUGCCAAAAAAGAAGAGUUUGACCUCGCCUGAAUCAAACUUCAGCCUUGUCCGAAUCAACAUUCGGCCUCGUCCAAACAGCUUCGGCCUCGUCCGAAUCAACAUUCGGCCUCGUCCGAAUCAACUUUGGCCUCAUCCGAAUCAACUUCCGGCCUCAUCCGAAUCAACUAGCUUUGUCCUCAUUCAAAUCAACUUCGGCCUCGUCUGAAUCAACAUUUGGCCUCGUCUGAAUCAAUCUUCGACCUCGUCCGAAUCAACUUCGGACGAGGCCGAAUCAACAUCCGGACGAGGCCAAAGAUUGAUUCAGAUGAGGCCGAAGCUUGAUUCGGAUGAGGCCGAAGCUUGAUUCGGACGAGGCUAAAUGCUGAUUCGGAUGAGGCCGAAGUUUGAUCUGGACGAGGUCGAAUUCUUCUUUUUUGGCAAUGGCCCUUGGCCAUCGGGGUGUUAUUUCGAGCUGGUCAAAAUGUUAACUCGUCUUGGUUCGAACGAAGUCGAACUCUUCUUUUUGGCGAUGGCCAUUGGCCGUAGGGGUGUUAUUUCGGGUUGGUUGAAAUGUUAAACCGUCAUGGUUCGAACGAAGUCAAACUCUUUUUUUUUGGCGAAGGCCCUUGGCCUUAAAGGGUGUUAUUUCGAACUUGUAGAAGUAGUAACCCGUCGUUGUUCGAUAGAGGUCAAACUCUUCUUUUUUUUUUGGCGAAGGCCCUUGGCCUUAAAGGAUGUUAUUUCGAACUUAUCGACAUAGUAACCCGUCGUUGUUCGAUCGAGGUUGAACUCUUCUUUUUGGCGAAGGCCCUUGGCCUUAAAGGGUGUUAUUUCAAACUUGUCGAAAUAGUAACCCGUUGUUGUUCGAUCAAGGUCGAACUCUUCUUUUUUUUUUGGGCGAAGGCCCUUGGCCUUAAAGGGUGUCAUUUCAAACUAAGAUCGUAAUGUUAACCCGUUGUCAGUCCCAGUUUUUGGAGAAUAUUAGUUGUUCCCUGUGGGAGUCCCAGUUUGCUAAAUUUUCCUUGAAUUAGGGAGUACGACGUAUUUCCUGGGUGAUUGCUUCUGCUUCUAUUCCACUUAGAGAAAUAGUCAGUUAAAACAAAAAGAAAGCGUUCGUUACCUCGAUUUGAUUGGUCAACGAGUGGAGAGGAGUGACCGCGUUCCCUUCUCCGGUUAUGCUUUCAGUGGUCGCUACCAAUUUGGCGUGGUUGUCCGCUUUACUAAAGUUUUAUGUCUACGGUGAAAGUUUUGAGCAGUGAACUCCGGUGAGAGUUUUGAGCAGCGAACUCCGAUGAAAGCUUUGAUCUUUUCUGACGACCCAUAUGUUCUCCGAUGUCGGAAAUAUCUUUCUUCUCUUCACAACUACUCUGUUUUCGAUACACAUGUUUACUUUUGGAUAACAGACCCCUCUCCUUGUUCUCAUCACUUUAUCUUCGUCUCAUAUCCUUAAGUCCAUCCUCAACGAUGCUUGCUUUUUUGCCCUUUAUUACAAGAAUCUUCUAUUCAUUAAGUAUGAGGUUCGAUUUUCAUCAAAUUCUUUUAGUCUCGGCUUUAGUGCCUGUUACUCAAAGAGCCAAAAAAGAAACUCUUCUUUCGUGCUUUUGUUACAACAAUAUAUGUCAAUAAGAACUUAAUUAUAUUGGUGAUUCUUUAUCUAAUGAUGAAUAAGAAGCUGGAGUUUUCAUAUAAUUUAAUUGCAGUUAUUUAAAUAGAAAUAAGGGAAAGAGAAAAGGGAAGUUGUUGUUCUGUUUAUUGGUUCUAAUUUCUACGGGGUUUGUUUUAGAAGCGGUUAAUUUUGUUGUGAUUAACUAAAAUAUGCAACUAACUUCAUUUAAUAUAUUUUCGAAUGUAGAACAGUAUCUGCUGUUCCAGAAAGUGAGUAAAGCAGCGCGUCAAUCCUACGAACAAAGCCAUAAUAGAAGGUGACAAUCACGUCUAUGGAUGAAAAGUUUUGUACGUUGUAACAAAAUUCAGGUAGCAACUUUUGGGGUCUCGAUGACCCAUCCACUUAAAAGGUUAAAGGGGGGUGAUUCAGCAAUUGCAGAAGUUCUGUUACUCCAAUUUUGUUUUUACUUGCCUUAAUUUAUUGUGAACAGAAUGUAACUAGUAUGAAUAAAGAUUUACCGCAUAACUAGUAUGAAUCGACAUACGUGGUAAAUCAUACUUAUGAACAGAAUGUGGAACUAGAAUUGAAUUCUAGAUCUAGAGGAAACUAAAAUUUUAACUAAAAAAUUCCUACAGACGACGCCAAAUUGUUUGACUCAAAAGAUAUUAGAACCUUUUUGAACAAAUCAAUCAAAGAGAAUGAACGGGUAAAUCCUAAUUAAGAAUAAUUAACUCUAGAUCCGAGAUGAAUAAUAUGAAUAAAAAAAAUAUAGCCGAGUAUAAAUAUUGGCAGUGGUUAUGGCCAGAUUUAAUAGCAUACAGAAAGAUGCAUUAAGUAACAUUAAGUGACAAUAAAAUAUAAAUAAAGGAAAAGAUUCACCUAAUCUUGAGUGAGACAGAUCUUCUUUCAUUUGAUAAAGAUGAAUGAUAGACAAAUACAAGAACCUUAGGACCCUUUUUGGAUCUGACGAAGGUAUGGGAUCACAUAUCCUCCCAUCUCUUUAAAGAGGUGUGUUUACAUAUUUUCUAGAGAGAGGGAGAGAGCCUC